UUCUUUACUAUCAACAACUGAAGCGUUUGCUAACAAGAAAAAAAACACUAUCCCUAUAAAUAGGUGAGGGUUGAGCCUCGAAUCCAACAUCUCAUACAUGCUAUCUGAGUUUCUCUUCCGACGAAUCCUAAAUCACUCCUUUGAAACUUGCUGCUUCAUAUGCAAUUUCCGGACAGCCUACUGCUCACCACGCUACCAUUGAUGAUCUCACCUUCUCUCAGGUUAUUGCUGGCCUGCAUCAACUAGCAACACCUUGUGAGUGAAUUCAUCGUUAGAGAUCUCCGGUAAUCUUCAUACCCUUUAACACAACAGCAGCAGGUGGGGUAGCAGAGGAGAUCCGGUGGCUGAACAAUGUCCCGGUGCUCGCGAUCCCACCGGAAUUGCAGACCUGAGAGUUGUUGGAGAUGGAGAAGAUAAGUGUCGCUAACCUCUUGCUUCAUAACGCCAUAGCUCUCUAGGAUUUUUGUUUCGUACUCUUCUCGCCCUCUUGGGAUUAUGAAUUAAUGCGAUUGCAAGGAAUAGAUGCGUCUGCGGAAAUCUUUAACGAAUUGGCCCCAUGAAGAGGUGUGAUAUUACAAUUCGUGCAUUUUAUUUGCUAUAUCGUUGUUAAUAUUUUUGGGUUUGAGUUGUAUCAUACUUCAAUCAUGCCUAUUUGAUUUUGAAUGUAAGUGGUUUUAAAUGUUACCCACCGUGGGAGGCCAGGAAUCUCCGCUGUGGUGGAGAGCUCAUGGGAGUGGAUAAGCUCCUUCUCGGUUCUAACUUCUCAGGGAGCUGGUGGACCAGAGGAGGAAGAUAAUUGAUGGCCGCCAUGCCUGAAACCUCUGCUUAAAGAGCAGUUCUUUGUUCACUGCAAGUUUCAUGUAGACUCUCACAAGGGUGAUUGCAAUAUGUAUUACUUAGACUGUACCAACGGUGAGCUUUGCUCUCUUUGUCUUGCCCAUCACAAAGCUCACCUCACCAUCCAAUCCAAAUAGGUCGAUCUUUAGGUCUAUAUAUCAAUAGCCUGGCACAAUGCUUGGAUCCAUAGCUAUUCCAUAUCCCAUCAAAAGUUCUGAUUUUGUUUCUUACCCUCUAUCUAAUAAUCUAAAACUUUUUAAUACUAUCUGAUUUGAUCAAUGGAUUCUACUUGCAACUUCUUUCUCAUAGGUGUAUAAUACUCCAGUCAUGCCUAUUUGAUUUUUAAUGUAGGUAGUUUUUAAUGUUACCCAGCUCCCUAUUAUUUUCAAUUUCUAUAUUUUUUUCUCAAAAUUGGCCAUUGUUUUAAGAUUAUGCAAGUAAAUUUUGGAUUAAACUGAACCUUAUACAAGUUCUUGGUUGUUUAUGUGAUCUAUGGAGCAUUGUGUGUUGCAGAGAGAGAGAGAGUUCCUGCUCAGAAAGGUGGAACUGCAGGAACAAAAAGCAAUGAGGUUGAGAAAAGAGCAGCAGCUGAUGUGGCUUCAGCCUUGGAAUCUUACGAAGCAGACAAUGGAGAAGGCUACAAUGAUCAUUACCUCGUGAAGAUCACAAUCAUGAGCGGUUGUAAAUGCAUCGAUGUCCAAUCUAAAACAGUCAAAUAAAAGCGUAGGGUCUUGAAAGGAACAUGAAAAUGUAGCUUACUUAUUGUUCUUAUGUACUUUUUGUUUUCAAGGCACCAUUGCUCAGCAGAAGAAAAUGAUCGUUAACAGAACUA